rnacentral:lncRNA from 1 species
GAACUUCGCCCACGCCCCCCACCAAGGCUAUAGCCCACCCGUUUUUUGGCCAUUUUUCCGCUGGGGGGUGUUGGCACCCCGACCUUCGGGGGCUGACUUUUGGGCGCGGCUGUGCCCGUGGCCUAUUUUUGGCACACGGAGGCCGCCCGCAAAGUCUGGGGCCAUUCCGAGUCCGGCGGACGAACUUCGCCCACGCCCCCCACCAAGGCUAUAGCCCACCCGUUUUUUGGCCAUUUUUCCGCGGGGGGGUGUUGGCACCCCGACUUUCGGGGGCUGAUUUUUGGGCGCGGCUGUGCCCGUGGCCUAUUUUUGGCACACGGAGGCCGCCCGCAAAGUCUGGGGCCAUUCCGAGUCCGGCGGACGAACUUCGCCCACGCCCCCCACCAAGGCUAUAGCCCACCCGUUUUUUGGCCAUUUUUCAGCUGGGGGGUGUUGGCACCCCGACCUUCGGGGGCUGAUUUUUGGGCGCGGCUGUGCCCGUGGCCUAUUUUUGGCACACGGAGGCCGCCCGCAACAUCUGGGGCCAUUCCGAGUCCGGCGGACGAACUUCGCCCACGCCCCCCACCAAGGCUAUAGCCCACCCGUUUUUUGGCCAUUUUUCCGCUGGGGGGUCUUGGCGCCCCGACCUUCGGGGGCUGAUUUUUGGGCGCGGCUGUGCCCGUGGCCUAUUUUUGGCACACGGAGGCCGCCCGCAAAUUCUGGGGCCAUUCCGAGUCCGGCGGACGAACUUCGCCCACGCCCCCCACCAAGGCUAUAGUCCGCCCACCCGUUUUUUGCCCAUUUUUCCGCUGCGGGGUCUUGGCGCCCCGAUCUUCGGGGGCUGAUUUUUGGGCGCGGGUGUGCCCGUGGCCUGUUUUUGGCACACGGAGGCCGCCCGCAAAGUCUGGGGCCAUUCCGAGUCCGGCGGACGAACUUCGCCCACGCCCCCCACCAAGGCUAUAGCCCGCCCACCCGUUUUUUUUGCCAUUUUUCCGCUAGGGGGUAUUGGCGCCCCGACCUUCGGGGGCUGAUUUUUGGGCGCGGGUGUGCCCGUGGCCUGUUUUUGGCACACGGAGGCCGCCCGCAAAGUCUGGGGCCAUUCCGAGUCCGGCGGACGAACUUCGCCCACGCCCCCCACCAAGGCUAUAGCCCACCCGUUUUUUGGCCAUUUUUCCGCUGGGGGGUCUAGGCGCCCCGACAUUCGGGGGCUGAUUUUUGGGCGCGGCUGUGCCCGUGGCCUAUUUUUGGCACACGGAGGCCGCCCGCAAAGUCUGGGGCCAUUCCGAGUCCGGCGGACGAACUUCGCCCACGCCCCCCACCAAGGCUAUAGCCCCACCGUUUUUUGGCCAUUUUUCCGCUGGGGGGUCUUGGCGCCCCAACCUUCGGGGGCUGAUUUUUGGGCGCGGCUGUGCCCGUGGCCUAUUUUUGGCACACGGAGGCCGCCCGCAAAGUCUGGGGCCAUUCCGAGUCCGGCGGACGAACUUCGCCCACGCCCCCCACCAAGGCUAUAGCCCACCCGUUUUUUGGCCAUUUUUCCGCUGGGGGGUCUUGGCGCCUCGACCUUCGGGGGCUGAUUUUUGGGCGCGGCUCUGCCCGUGGCCUAUAUUUGGCACACGGAAGCCGCCCGCAAAGUCUGGGGCCAUUCCGAGUCCGGCGGACGAACUUCGCCCACGCCCCCCACCAAGGCUAUAGCCCACCCGUUUUUUGGCCAUUUUUCCGCUGGGGGGUGUUGGCACCCCGACCUUCGGGGGCUGAUUUUUGGGCGCGGCUCUGCCCGUGGCCUAUUUUUGGCACACGGAAGCCGCCCGCAAAGUCUGGGGCCAUUCCGAGUUCGGCGGACGAACUUCGCCCACGCCCCCCACCAAGGCUAUAGCCCACCCGUUUUUUGGCCAUUUUUCCGCUGGGGGGUGUUGGCACCCCGACAUUCGGGGGCUGAUUUUUGGGCGCGGCUGUGCCCGUGGCCUAUUUUUGGCACACGGAGGCCGCCCGCAAAGUCUGGGGCCAUUCCGAGUCCGGCGGACGAACUUCGCCCACGCCCCCCACCAAGGCUAUAGCCCGCCCACCCGUUUUUUGGGCAUUUUUCCGCCGGGGGGUCUUGGCGCCCCGACCUUCGGGGGCUGAUUUUUGGGCGCGGGUGUGCCCGUGGCCUGUUUUUGGCACACGGAGGCCGCCCGCAAAGUCUGGGGCCAUUCCGAGUCCGGCGGACGAACUUCGCCCACGCCCCCCACCAAGGCUAUAGCCCACCCGUUUUUUGGCCAUUUUUCCACUGGGGGGUCUUGGCGCCCCGACCUUCGGGGGCUGAUUUUUGGGCGCGGCUGUGCCCGUGGCCUGUUUUUGGCACACGGAGGCCGCCCGCAACGUCUGGGGCCAUUCCGAGUCCGGCGGACGAACUUCGCCCACGCCCCCCACCAAGGCUAUAGCCCACCCGUUUUUUGGCCAUUUUUCCGCUGGGGGGUCAUGGCACCCCGACCUUCGGGGGCUGAUUUUUGGGCGCGGCUCUGCCCGUGUCCUAUUUUUGGCACACGGAAGCCGCCCGCAAAGUCUGGGGCCAUUCCGAGUCCGGCGGACGAACUUCGCCCACGCCCCCCACCAAGGCUAUAGCCCACCCGUUUUUUGGCCAUUUUUCAGCUGGGGGGUGUUGGCACCCCGACCUUCGGGGGCUGAUUUUUGGGCGCGGCUGCGCCCGUGGCCUAUUUUUGGCACACGGAGGCCGCCCGCAACAUCUGGGGCCAUUCCGAGUCCGGCGGACGAACUUCGCCCACGCCCCCCACCAAGGCUAUAGCCCGCCCACCCGUUUUUUGGCUAUUUUUCCGCUGGGGGGUCUUGGCGCCCCGACCUUCGGGGGCUGAUUUUUGGGCGCUGGUGUGCCCGUGGCCUAUUUUUGGCACACGGAGGCCGCCCGCAAAGUCUGGGGCCAUUCCGAGUCCGGCGGACGUACUUCGCCCACGCCCCCCACCAAGGCUAUAGCCCACCCGUUUUUUGGCCAUUUUUCCGCUGGGGGGUGUUGGCACCCCGACCUUCGGGGGCUGAUUUUUGGGCGCGGCUGUGCCCGUGGCCUAUUUUUGGCACAUGGACGACGCCCGCAACGUCUGGGGCCAUUCCGAGUUCGGCGGACGAACUUCGCCCACGCCCCCCACCAAGGCUAUAGCCCACCCGUUUUUUGGCCAUUUUUCCGCUGGGGGGUGUUGGCACCCCGACCUUCGGGGGCUGAUUUUUGGGCGCGGCUGUGCCCGUGGCCUAUUUUUGGCACACGGAGGCCGCCCGCAACAUCUGGGGCCAUUCCGAGUCCGGCGGACGAACUUCGCCCACGCCCCCCACCAAGGCUAUAGCCCACCCGUUUUUUGGCCAUUUUUCCGCUGGGGGGUCUUGGCGCCCCGACCUUCGGGGGCCGAUUUUUGGGCGCGGCUGUGCCCGUGGCCUAUUUUUGGCACACGGAGGCCGCCCGCAAAGUCUGGGGCCAUUCCGAGUCCGGCGGACGAACUUCGCCCACGCCCCCCACCAAGGCUAUAGCCCACCCGUUUUUUGGCCAUUUUUCCGCUGGGGGGUGUUGGCACCCCGACCUUCGGGGGCUGAUUUUUGGGGGCGGCUGUGCCCGUGGCCUAUUUUUGGCACACGGAGGCCGCCCGCAACGUCUGGGGCCAUUCCGAGUCCGGCGGACGAACUUCGCCCACGCCCCCCACCAAGGCUAUAGCCCACCCGUUUUUUGGCCAUUUUUCAGCUGGGGGGUGUUGGCACCCCGACCUUCGGGGGCUGAUUUUUGGGCGCGGCUGUGCCCGUGGCCUAUUUUUGGCACACGGAGGCCGCCCGCAACAUCUGGGGCCAUUCCGAGUCCGGCGGACGAACUUCGCCCACGCCCCCCACCAAGGCUAUAGCCCACCCGUUUUUUGGCCAUUUUUCCGCUGGGGGGUCUUGGCGCCCCGACCUUCGGGGGCUGAUUUUUGGGCGCGGCUGUGCCCGUGGCCUAUUUUUGGCACACGGAGGCCGCCCGCAAAUUCUGGGGCCAUUCCGAGUCCGGCGGACGAACUUCGCCCACGCCCCCCACCAAGGCUAUAGUCCGCCCACCCGUUUUUUGCCCAUUUUUCCGCUGCGGGGUCUUGGCGCCCCGAUCUUCGGGGGCUGGUUUUUGGGCGCGGGUGUGCCCGUGGCCUGUUUUUGGCACACGGAGGCCGCCCGCAAAGUCUGGGGCCAUUCCGAGUCCGGCGGACGAACUUCGCCCACGCCCCCCACCAAGGCUAUAGCCCGCCCACCCGUUUUUUUUGCCAUUUUUCCGCUAGGGGGUCUUGGCGCCCCGACCUUCGGGGGCUGAUUUUUGGGCGCGGGUGUGCCCGUGGCCUGUUUUUGGCACACGGAGGCCGCCCGCAAAGUCUGGGGCCAUUCCGAGUCCGGCGGACGAACUUCGCCCACGCCCCCCACCAAGGCUAUAGCCCACCCGUUUUUUGGCCAUUUUUCCGCUGGGGGGUCUAGGCGCCCCGACAUUCGGGGGCUGAUUUUUGGGCGCCGCUGUGCCCGUGGCCUAUUUUUGGCACACGGAGGCCGCCCGCAAAGUCUGGGGCCAUUCCGAGUCCGGCGGACGAACUUCGCCCACGCCCCCCACCAAGGCUAUAGCCCACCCGUUUUUUGGCCAUUUUUCCGCUGGGGGGUCUUGGCGCCUCGACCUUCGGGGGCUGAUUUUUGGGCGCGGCUCUGCCCGUGGCCUAUAUUUGGCACACGGAAGCCGCCCGCAAAGUCUGGGGCCAUUCCGAGUCCGGCGGACGAACGUCGCCCACGCCCCCCACCAAGGCUAUAGCCCACCCGUUUUUUGGCCAUUUUUCCGCUGGGGGGUGUUGGCACCCCGACCUUCGGGGGCUGAUUUUUGGGCGCGGCUCUGCCCGUGGCCUAUUUUUGGCACACGGAAGCCGCCCGCAAAGUCUGGGGCCAUUCCGAGUCCGGUGGACGAACUUCGCCCACGCCCCCCACCAAGGCUAUAGCCCACCCGUUUUUUGGCCAUUUUUGCGCUGGGGGGUGUUGGCACCCCGACCUUCGGGGGCUGAUUUUUGGGCGCGGCUGUGCCCGUGGCCUAUUUUUGGCACACGGAGGCCGCCCGCAACGUCUGGGGCCAUUCCGAGUCCGGCGGACGAACUUCGCCCACGCCCCCCACCAAGGCUAUAGCCCACCCGUUUUUUGGCCAUUUUUCCGCUGGGGGGUGUUGGCGCCCCGACCUUCGGGGGCUGAUUUUUGGGCGCGGCUGUGCCCGUGGCCUAUUUUUGGCACACAGAGGCCGCCCGCAAAGUCUGGGGCCAUUCCGAGUCCGGCGGACGAACUUCGCACACGGCUCCCACCAAGGCUAUAGCCCACCCGUUUUUUGGCCUUUUUUCCGCUGGGGGGUGUUGGCACCCCGACCUUCGGGGGCUGAUUUUUGGGCGCGGCUGUGCCCGUGGCCUAUUUUUGGCACACGGAGGCCGCCCGCAAAGUCUGGGGCCAUUCCGAGUUCGGCGGACGAACUUCGCCCGCGCCCCCCACCAAGGCUAUAGCCCACCCGUUUUUUGGCCAUUUUUCCGCUGGGGGGUCUUGGCGCCCCGACCUUCGGGGGCUGAUUUUUGGGCGCGGCUGUGCCCGUGGCCUAUUUUUGGCACACGGAGGCCGCCCGCAAAGUCUGGGGCCAUUCCGAGUCCGGCGGACGAACUUCGCCCACGCCCCCCACCAAGGCUAUAGCCCGCCCACCCGUUUUUUGGCCAUUUUUCCGCUGGGGGGUCUUGGCGCCCCGACCAUCGGGGGCUGAUUUUUGGGCGCGGGUGUGCCCGUUGCCUGUUUUUGGCACACGGAGGCCGCCCGCAAAGUCUGGGGCCAUUCCGAGUCCGGCGGACGAACUUCGCCCACGCCCCCCACCAAGGCUAUAGCCCACCCGUUUUUUGGCCAUUUUUCCGCUGGGGGGUCUUGGCGCCCCGACCUUCGGGGGCUGAUUUUUGGGCGCGGCUGUGCCCGUGGCCUAUUUUUGGCACACGGAGGCCGCCCGCAAAAUCUGGGGCCAUUCCGAGUCCGGCGGACGAACUUCGCCCACGCCCCCCACCAAGGCUAUAGCCCACCCGUUUUUUGGCCAUUUUUCCGCUGGGGGGUCUUGGCACCCCGACCUUCGGGGGCUGAUUUUUGGGCGCGGCUCUGCCCGUGGCCUAUUUUUGGCACACGGAAGCCGCCCGCAAAGUCUGGGGCCAUUCCGAGUCCGGCGGACGAACUUCGCCCACGCCCCCCACCAAGGCUAUAGCCCACCCGUUUUUUGGCCAUUUUUCCGCUGGGGGGUCUUGGCACCCCGACCUUCGGGGGCUGAUUUUUGGGCGCGGCUCUGCCCGUGGCCUAUUUUUGGCACACGGAGGCCGCCCGCAAGUCUGGGGCCAUUCCGAGUCCGGCGGACGAACUUCGCCCACGCCCCCCACCAAGGCUAUAGCCCACCCGUUUUUUGGCCAUUUUUCCGCUGGGGGGUCUUGGCACCCCGACCUUCGGGGGCUGAAUUUUGGGCGCGGCUCUGCCCGUGGCCUAUUUUUGGCACACGGAAGCCGCCCGCAAAGUCUGGGGCCAUUCCGAGUCCGGCGGACGAACUUCGCCCACGCCCCCCACCAAGGCUAUAGCCCGCCCACCCGUUUUUUGGCCAUUUUUCCGCUGGGGGGUCUUGGCGCCCCGACCUUCGGGGGCUGAUUUUUGGGCGCGGGUGUGCCCGUGGCCUAUUUUUGGCACACGGAGGCCGCCCGCAAAGUCUGGGGCCAUUCCGAGUCCGGCGGACGAACUUCGCCCACGCCCCCCACCAAGGCUAUAGCCCACCCGUUUUUUGGCCAUUUUUCCGCUGGGGGGUCUUGGCACCCCGACCUUCGGGGGCUGAUUUUUGGGUGCGGCUCUGCCCGUGGCCUAUUUUUGGCACACGGAAGCCGCCCGCAAAGUCUGGGGCCAUUCCGAGUCCGGCGGACGAACUUCGCCCACGACCCCCACCAAGGCUAUAGCCCACCCGUUUUUUGGCCAUUUUUCCGCUGGGGGGUCUUGGCGCCCCGACCCUCGGGGGCUGAUUUUUGGGCGCGGCUCUGCCCGUGGCCUAUUUUUGGCACACGAAAGCCGCCCGCAAAGUCUGGGGCCAUUCCGAGUCCGGCGGACGAACUUCGCCCACGCCCCCCAUCAAGGCUAUAGCCCACCCGUUUUUUGGCCAUUUUUCCGCUGGGGGGUCUUGGCGCCCCGACCUUCGGGGGCUGAUUUUUGGGCGCGGCUCUGACCGUGGCCUAUUUUUGGCACACGGAGGCCGCCCGCAACGUCUGGGGCCAUUCCGAGUCCGGCGGACGAACUUCGCCCACGCCCCCCACCAAGGCUAUAGCCCGCCCACCCGUUUUUUGGCCAUUUUUCCGCUGGGGGGUCUUGGCGCCCCGACCUUCGGGGGCUGAUUUUUGGGCGCGGGUGUGCCCGUGGCCUGUUUUUGGCACACGGAGGCCGCCCGCAAAGUCUGGGGCCACUCCGAGUCCGGCGGACGAACUUCGCCCACGCCCCCCACCAAGGCUAUAGCCCACCCGUUUUUUGGCCAUUUUUUUGCUUGGGGGUGUUGGCACUUCGACCUUCGGGGGCUGAUUUUUGGGCGCGGGUGUGCCCGUGGCCUAUUUUUGGCACACGGAGGCCGCCCGCAAAGUCUGGGGCCAUUCCGAGUCCGGCGGACGAACUUCGCCCACGCCCCCCACCAAGGCUAUAGCCCGCCCACCCGUUUUUUGGCCAUUUUUCCGCUGGGGGGUCUUGGCGCCCCGACCUUCGGGGGCUGAUUUUUGGGCGCGGGUGUGCCCGUGGCCUGUUUUUGGCACACGGAGGCCGCCCGCAAAGUCUGGGGCCAUUCCGAGUCCGGCGGACGAACUUCGCCCACGCCCCCCACCAAGGCUAUAGCCCGCCCACCCGUUUUUUGGCCAUUUUUCCGCUGGGGGGUCUUGGCGCCCCGACCUUCGGGGGCUGAUUUUUUGGCGCGGGUGCGCCCGUGGCCUGUUUUUGGCACACGGAGGCCGCCCGCAAAGUCUGGGGCCAUUCCGAGUCCGGCGGACGAACUUCGCCCACGCCCCCCACCAAGGCUAUAGCCCGCCCGUUUUUUGGCCAUUUUUCCGCCGGGGGGUCUUAUCGCCCCGACCUUCGGGGGCUGAAUUUUGGGCGCGGGUGUGCCCAUGGCCUAUUUUUGGCACACGGAGGCCGCCCGCAAAGUCUGGGGCCAUUCCGAGUCCGGCGGACGAACUUCGCCCACGCCCCCCACCAAGGCUAUAGCCCACCCGUUUUUUGGCCAUUUUUCCGCUGGGGGGUCUUGGCGCCCCGACCUUCGGGUGCUGAUUUUUGGGCGCGGCUGUGCCCGUGGCCUAUUUUUGGCACACGGAGGCCGCCCGCAAAGUCUGGGGCCA